UCUCUUUGGCAGCAAAAACACUAUAAUUGAAAUGACAAGAAGCAGAUUAGCAUGGUCCUGUGCAAGGAAGACAUGCAAAUUUGUGGCACAUUCAUAAUUUUA